AGUGAACGCUGGCGGUAGGCCUAACACAUGCAAGUCGAACGGCAGCACAGUAAGAGCUUGCUCUUACGGGUGGCGAGUGGCGGACGGGUGAGGAAUACAUCGGAAUCUACUUUUUCGUGGGGGAUAACGUAGGGAAACUUACGCUAAUACCGCAUACGACCUACGGGUGAAAGCAGGGGAUCUUCGGACCUUGCGCGAUUGAAUGAGCCGAUGUCGGAUUAGCUAGUUGGCGGGGUAAAGGCCCACCAAGGCGACGCUCCGUAGCUGGUCUGAGAGGAUGACGGGCCACACUGGAACUGAGACAGGGUGCAGACGCCUACGGGAGGCACCAGUUGGGAAUAUUGGACAAUGGGCGCAAGCCUGAUGCAGCCAUGGGGCGGAAAUGAAGACGGCCUACGGGUUGGAGAGUGAUUUCGGCGGGGAGAAAGGGAGUAAAGUUAAUACCGUUGGUCAUUGACGUUACCCGAAGAAGAAGCACCGGCUAACUCCGUG
rnacentral:rRNA from 1 species